rnacentral:rRNA from 1 species
GAUGAACGCUGGCGGCGUGCCUAAUACAUGCAAGUCGAGCGAACGGACGAGAAGCUUGCUUCUCUGAUGUUAGCGGCGGACGGGUGAGUAACACGUGGAUAACCUACUUAUAAGACUGGGAUAACUUCGGGAAACCGGAGCUAAUACCGGAUGAUAUUUUGAACCGCAUGGUUCAAAAGUGAAAGACGGUCUUGCUGUCACUUAUAGAUGGAUCCGCGCUGCAUUAGCUAGUUGGUAAGGUAACGGCUUACCAAGGCAACGAUGCAUAGCCGACCUGAGAGGGUGAUCGGCCGCACUGGAACUGAGACACGGUCCAGACUCCUACGGGAGGCAGCAGUAGGGAAUCUUCCGCAAUGGGCGAAAGCCUGACGGAGCAACGCCGCGUGAGUGAUGAAGGUCUUCGGAUCGUAAAACUCUGUUAUUGGGGAAGAACAGAUGUGUAAGUAACUGUGCACAUCUUGACGGUACCUAAUCAGAAAGCCACGGCUAACUACGUG